GAUCUUGUUGCUCAGUGGAUAGAGCACUUGCCUAACAUGUAAGGCACUGGGUUCAAUUCUCUGCACCACA
rnacentral:tRNA from 1 species